CAGUCGCCACGGUAAUACGAAGGGGGCUAGCGUUGCUCGGAAUGACUGGGCGUAAAGCGUGCGCAGGCGGACCGUUAAGUUGGGGGUGAAAGCCCGGGGCUCAACCUCGGAAUUGCCUUCAAUACUGGCGAUCUUGGGUAUGGAAGAGGUAUGUGGAACUCCGAGUGUAGAGGUGAAAUUCGUAGAUAUUCGGAAGAACACCAGUGGCGAAGGCGACAUACUGGUCCAUUACUGACGCUGAGGCUCGAAAGCGUGGGGAGCAAACAGGAUUAGAGACCCCCGUAGUCCCUGUCUCUUAUAC
rnacentral:rRNA from 1 species